UCGAAUAGCUAGUUUUAUCAAACACUCCUAAUUUAGUAACCUUACUUAUAAUUUCAGCUACCAACUACUCAUUAACUUUUUAGAUUUAUUUUUCAGUUAAUUUUGUUAAAUAUAAUCUAAUAAGUAAUUUCUGAUAUUCUCUGUAAGCUCUUGAGGCCUGAGGCUUAAAAUUUGUCCCAAUCUUAUUAAGUUUAGACUCAACUCAUGAAAACUUUCAUUCACAAAAUAAUAAAUAAAUAAAUUUAUAUAAUUUCUGUAAUAUAAAUAGAGUGUAUUUAUUUUUAACAAAGAAAAUAACGAUAAAACAUGUAAGCGAUUUAGACACAUUGAUUCAAUUGAAUGAUACCCCUAUAAAAACCUAUUUCGAAUAUGUUUAGUUUACUGUAGAAAAACUCCAAACUUAAUUUAGAGAGAAAUGAGUUUGAAAUCAUCUUUGGUUUCUCCAAAAAAAAAUAUUUGAAGUAAAAAUUUAAUUUGAAAACUUAGUUUGGAAGAAGGAACUAUUGUGAUAUUUUUCCAAACUUAGUUUACAAACUUAAAUUUAACACAAACUUAAGUUUACACACUACAAUCCAAAUAUGCACCGAUUGAAAGUGAAUUUCAGAAUUAGAAGAAAUUAAUCAACCACCAUUUAUACCCAUUCACUACUCCGUAAUCCGUGUAGUACUCUCUAAUUUGUCUUACUGUUUGACAGGCUACAAGAUAAGCAUUGCUGUUUAGGCCAGUCUCCACACUUAUUUGUGCAAUCCCAGUCAUUAACAAUCAAUCACAUUUCAUUCAUUUUCAUAGUGGAGGCAAUUGCUUCAAUUUUACUUCAACACUUGAGAAGGAGAGGUACGGCGUUUAAUUGGUACGGAAGCUUUGAAAAGAACUGCAUCCAUUAUUUGAAGGGCCCUCGAAAGCUAAGGGCUUUGUUGUUUUCCAAUUAUUUGAUGAAUUGGAAUUUAGACUUGUGCAUGUGUAGGGUUGUCUCUCGUUAUUUUCGACCUCAGAGUUCCAGAAAAAUAAAAAUGUGGUUCCUAGAUGUUA